ACGGGAGGCAGCAGUAGGGAAUCUUCGGCAAUGGACGAAAGUCUGACCGAGCAACGCCGCGUGAGUGAAGAAGGUUUUCGGAUCGUAAAACUCUGUUGUUAGAGAAGAACAAGGACGUUAGUAACUGAACGUCCCCUGACGGUAUCUAACCAGAAAGCCACGGCUAACUACGUGCCAGCAGCCGCGGUAAUACGUAGGUGGCAAGCGUUGUCCGGAUUUAUUGGGCGUAAAGCGAGCGCAGGCGGUUUCUUAAGUCUGAUGUGAAAGCCCCCGGCUCAACCGGGGAGGGUCAUUGGAAACUGGGAGACUUGAGUGCAGAAGAGGAGAGUGGAAUUCCAUGUGUAGCGGUGAAAUGCGUAGAUAUAUGGAGGAACACCAGUGGCGAAGGCGGCUCUCUGGUCUGUAACUGACGCUGAGGCUCGAAAGCGUG
rnacentral:rRNA from 1 species